UUGCCCCUGCGGUGUACGACAGGAAGGUUGAUAUUUGAAGAACCGAUGCCCAUAUUUUAGGGAGUCGGAACCUGCCGGAUCGAAAAAGCCCCCUCGAGGGGACUUUCGGACGCUUGAAGCUGACUUACCACUUUAGAAUACUGGGUUCUUUAAAUAGCCUACCACCGGCACAGGUGGAGGCCGC
rnacentral:other from 1 species